rnacentral:rRNA from 1 species
UACGUAGGGGGCAAGCGUUGUUCGGAAUUACUGGGCGUAAAGGGCGCGUAGGCGGCACAGCAAGUCGGGAGUGAAAGCCCGGGGCUCAACCCCGGAAUGGCUUUCGAAACUGCUGAGCUAGAGUACAGAAGGGGCAACCGGAAUUCCCAGUGUAGCGGUGAAAUGCGUAGAUAUUGGGAAGGACACCUGAGGCGAAGGCGGGUUGCUGGGCUGAUACUGACGCUGAGGCGCGAAAGCCAGGGGAGCAAACGGG